rnacentral:rRNA from 1 species
GACGAACGCUGGCGGCGUGCUUAACACAUGCAAGUCGAACGGAAAGGCCCUGCUUUUGUGGGGUUGUCGAGUGGGGAACGGGUGAGUAACACGUGAGUAAACCGUCCCUGACUUUGGGAUAACUCCUGGAAACUGGGGCUAAUAUCGGAUAGGAGCUCCUGCUGCAUGGGGGGGGUUGGAAAGUUUCGGUGGUUGGGGAUGGACUCGCGGCUUAUCAGCUUGUUGGUGGGGUAGUGGCUUACCAAGGCUUUGACGGGUAGCCGGCCUGGGAGGGUGACCGGCCACAUUGGGACUGAGAUACGGCCCAGACUCCUACGGGAGGCAGCAGUGGGGAAUAUUGCACAAUGGGCGGAAGCCUGAUGCAGCAACGCCGCGUGCGGGAUGACGGCCUUCGGGUUGUAAACCGCUUUCGCCUGUGACGAAGCGUGAGUGACGGUAAUGGGUAAAGAAGCACCGGCUAACUACGUG